rnacentral:rRNA from 1 species
CGCAGCCGCGGUAAUUCCAGCUCCAAUAGCGUAUAUUAAAGUUGUUGCAGUUAAAAAGCUCGUAGUUGAACUUCGGGGUUUACCCAUUGGUCAGGCUUAAUUGUCUGUACUGGUGAGAUAAAUCUCUACCUCCUGAGGAACUUUCAUGUCAUUAAUUUGGUGUGAUUGGAAAUCAGGACUAUUACUUUGAAAAAUUAGAGUGUUUAAAGCAGGCUAAAGUCUGAAUACAUUAGCAUGGAAUAAUGAAAUAGGACGGAUUUGAUUCUAUUUCGUUGGUUUCUAGGAUCACCGUAAUGAUUAAUAGGGAUAGUUGGGGGCAUUAGUAUUCAAUUGUCAGAGGUGAAAUUCUUGGAUUUAUUGAAGACUAACUACUGCGAAAGCAUUUGCCAAGGAUGUUUUCAUUAAUCAAGAACGAAAGUUAGGGGAUCGAAGACGAUCAGAUACCGUCGU